AGUGAACGCUGGCGGUAGGCCUAACACAUGCAAGUCGAACGGCAGCACAGUAAGAGCUUGCUCUUACGGGUGGCGAGUGGCGGACGGGUGAGGAAUACAUCGGAAUCUACUUUUUCGUGGGGAUAACGUAGGGAAACUUACGCUAAUACCGCAUACGACCUACGGGUGAAAGCAGGGGAUCUUCGGACCUUGCGCGAUUGAAUGAGCCGAUGUCGGAUUAGCUAGUUGGCGGGGUAAAGGCCCACCAAGGCGACGAUCCGUAGCUGGUAUGAGAGGAUGAUCAGCCACACUGGAACUGAGACACGGUCCAGACUCCUACGGGAGGCAGCAGUGGGGAAUAUUGGACAAUGGGCGCAAGCCUGAUCCAGCCAUACCGCGUGGGUGAAGAAGGCCUUCGGGUUGUAAAGCCCUUUUGUUGGGAAAGAAAAGCAGCAGGUUAAUACCCCGCUGUUCUGACGGUACCCGAAGAAUAAGCACCGGCUAACUUCGUG
rnacentral:rRNA from 1 species